rnacentral:rRNA from 1 species
UUAGAUCGUACCCACAUUACUUGGAUAACUGUGGUAAUUCUAGAGCUAAUACAUGCAAAUAGAGUUCCGACCAGAGAUGGAAGGAAUGCUUUUAUUAGAUCAAAACCAAUCGGUGGCGGGCGCUCGCGCGCCUCGCUCACCGUUUGACUUGGUGACUCUGAAUAACUUUCUGCUGAUCGCACGGUCUCGUACCGGCGACGCAUCUUUCAAAUGUCUGCCUUAUCAACUGUCGAUGGUAGUUUCUGCGACUACCAUGGUUGUUACGGGUAACGGGGAAUCAGGGUUCGAUUCCGGAGAGGGAGCCUGAGAAACGGCUACCACAUCCAAGGAAGGCAGCAGGCGCGCAAAUUACCCACUCCCGGCACGGGGAGGUAGUGACGAAAAAUAACGAUACGGGACUCAUCCGAGGCCCCGUAAUCGGAAUGAGUACACUUUAAAUCCUUUAACGAGGACCCAUUGGAGGGAAAGUCUGGUGCCAGCAGCCGCGGUAACACCAGCUCCAAUAGCGUAUAUUAAAGUUGUUGCGGUUAAAAAGCUCGUAGUUGAAUCUGUGUCCCACACUGUCGGUUCACCGCUCGCGGUGUCCAACUGGCAUGUCUGUGGGACGUCCUACCGGUGGGCGCAGCCCGUCAAAAGGCGGCCCAACUCAAAAUCCUACCACGGUGCUCUCACCGA